rnacentral:miRNA from 1 species
AGGGAGGGGGGGGACGUUCGCA